rnacentral:rRNA from 1 species
CAGUCGCCACGGGAAUACGAAGGGGGCUAGCGUUGCUCGGAAUUACUGGGCGUAAAGGGAGCGUAGGCGGGUCGUUUAGUCAGAGGUGAAAUCCCGGGGCUCAACCUCGGAACUGCCUUUGAUACUGGCGACCUUGAGUAUGGGAGAGGUAAGCGGAACUCCGAGUGUAGAGGUGAAAUUCGUAGAUAUUCGGAAGAACACCAGUGGCGAAGGCGGCUUACUGGCCCAUUACUGACGCUGAGGCUCGAAAGCGUGGGGAGCAAACGGGAUUAGAUACCCGAGUAGUCCCUGUCUCUUAUAC